rnacentral:rRNA from 1 species
UAGUCCACGCCGUAAACGAUGAGUGCUCGCUGCAGGGAGGUCUACCCUCUUUGUGGCCAAGCUAACGCGUUAAGCACUCCGCCUGGGAAGUACGGCCGCAAGGCUAAAACUCAAAGGAAUUGACGGGGACCCGCACAAGCGGUGGAGCAUGUGGUUUAAUUCGAUGCAACGCGUAGAACCUUACCCAGGCUUGACAUCUACGGAAUCUCCGUGAAAGCGGAGAGUGCUACCGCAAGGUAGAGCCGUAAGACAGGUGCUGCAUGGCUGUCGUCAGCUCGUGCCGUGAGGUGUUCGGUUAAGUCCGGCAACGAGCGCAACCCCCUGUCGUUAGUUGCCAGCAUUUAGUUGGGGACUCUAACGAGACUGCCGGUGACAAACCGGAGGAAGGUGGGGACGACGUCAAGUCCUCAUGGCCCUUAUGUCUGGGGCUACACACGUGCUACAAUGGUAUCUACAGAGGGAAGCGAAGCCGCGAGGUGAAGCAAAUCCCGCAAAAGAUGCCUCAGUUCGGAGUUG